rnacentral:rRNA from 1 species
UACGGGGGGGAGCAAGCGUUGUUCGGAUUUACUGGGCGUAAAGGGCGCGUAGGCGGCCACGACAAGUCACUUGUGAAAUCUCCGGCUUAACUCGGAACGGUCAAGUGAUACUGUCGGGCUAGAGUGCAGAAGGGGCAACUGGAAUUCUCGGUGUAGCGGUGAAAUGCGUAGAUAUCACUUGGAACGCCAAUGGUGAAAACAGCUCGCUGGGAAUGAUCUGACACUGAGACGCGAAAGCCAGGGAGCGAACGGG